rnacentral:rRNA from 1 species
AAAUGAACAGAACUGUAGUGACACGGAAGGUAAGACAGAGCCGGGAAUGAGAAAACCGGUGCAAGCACAAUAGAUGUGUGGGAGGAAAAUCCCCCGCAUAAGUCGAAGGUGUGACGCGGACCGAAAAAGAGUAGGGAAGCUGUUAAGCAAGCCGUCAAGAAAAGCUGCUAUUGUUUCAUUAUGGCCCGUACCGUAAACCGACACAGGUGGAUGGGGAGAGAAUCCUAAGGCCGGCGGAAGAAGUAUUGUUAAGGAACUCGGCAAAAUGACCCCGUAACUUCGGGAGAAGGGGUGCCUGCGAGAGCAGGCCGCAGAGAAGAGGCCCAAGCAACUGUUUAGCAAAAACACAGGUCUAUGCAAAACCGAAAGGUGAGGUAUAUGGGCUGACGCCUGCCCGGUGCUGGAAGGUUAAGGGGAGUGGUCAGGAAACGAAGCCACGAACUUAAGCCCCAGUAAACGGCGGCCGUAACAAUAACGGUCCUAAGGUAGCGAAAUUCCUUGUCGGGUAAGUUCCGACCCGCACGAAAGGCGUAAUGAUUUGGGCGCUGUCUCGACAAUACAUCCGGUGAAAUUGAAGUGCCAGUGAAGAUGCUGGCUACCUGCGCCGGGACGGAAAGACCCCAUGGAGCUUUACUCCAGCUUGAUACUGGGACCCGGUAUUGCAUGUACAGGAUAGGUGGGAGGCUAGGAAAUGUGGACGCCAGUCUGCAUGGAGCCGCUGUUGGGAUACCACCCUUGUGGUGCUGGGUUUCUAACCAGAGGCCGUGAACCGGUCUGGGGACAAUGUCAGGUGGGGAGUUUGACUGGGGCGGUCGCCUCCGAAAGGGUAUCGGAGGCGCCCAAAGGUUCCCUCAGAAUGGUUGGAAACCAUUCGAAGAGUGCAAAGGCAGAAGGGAGCUUGACUGCGACACCGACGGGUGGAGCAGGUACGAAAGUAGGGCUUAGUGAUCCGGUGGAAUUUAAGUGGGAAUGCCAUCGUUCAACGGAUAAAAGCUACCCUGGGAUAACAUGCUGAUCACUCCCAAGAGUUCACAUCGACGGAGUGGUUUGGCACCUCGAUGUCGGCUCAUCGCAUCCUGGGGCUGAAGUCGGUCCCAAGGGUUGGGCUGUUCGCCCAUUAAAGCGGUACGCGAGCUGGGUUCAGAACGUCGUGAGACAGUUCGGUCCCUAUCCGGCGUGGGCGUAGGAUAUCUGAGAGGAGCUGUCCUUAGUACGAGAGGACCGGGAUGGACUGACCUCUGGUGUACCGGUUGGCGAUCAACGCCACGGCCGGGUAGCCAUGUCGGGACGGGAUAAACGCUGAAGGCAUCUAAGCGUGAAGCCCCCCUCAAGAUGAGAUAUCCCAUCGUAAGAGUAAGACCCCUUGAAGACGACGAGGUUGAUAGGGCAGGGGUGGAAGUGCUGUAAGGCAUGGAGCUGACUGCUACUAAUCGGUCGAGGGCUUGAUCAA